CCCCUUAUUUUCUUUUUCCUUUCAUUCUCACAUUUUCACUCACCCACAACCCACAUGAAACCCACGAAUGCAGGCUUAUAGCUUACGAAUACAAAGCUUCUUAGUGGAAAAUUUUGGAGAGAAGCCAAGGUUGAAGAUGACUACGAGUCUGAAAGCUAAUCGUGUUCUUGAACCUUCAAACCUUGCUAUGGAGGUGGGCUCAGAUUCAGACCCUCUUCUUUCUCACUUCUCUCUUCCAAAACCUUGCCAUUCGUCCGUUGAUCGUGGGUGAAGAGUCUGUCGUAGUCCGUGGAUUGUGGGUACAGGUUCGUUCGCCGUGCAGGUUUGUUCGUCGUGCAGAUUUGGCCUCUAUUCGUCGAUCUGCCUCUGUUUGUCGUCGAUCAUGCAGGUAUGAUGUGGUUUCAGCCUUCGUUCGUCGUCGAUUCGACCUCCAUGUCAUCGCUCGCCGACCAAAUCCACUUCUCCGUCGAACAUUUUCCCUUUUUCAGUUCCACUGACCACCUUACAGAUUUCAAGAAAUUUGACUCUUGUUCGCGGAAAUGAAAUUUGGAUUGAGAAUUGUAGUGUUGCUUAUCGAGAUUGCAACUAUGUCAAAGGGAAUUCUCGUUCAGGAAAGCUAGGGAGAUUACAAGACUUGGCAAGGCAUAGGUAUUGUGGCUUCUAGCAGAAUUUGUAAGGUGUUUUAACUACCCAAUUAUAUUGCAUUUUUCAGGUGACAUUCACAGAGGAGCAUAUCUCAUUCUUUCACUUCUUAAUAAAUGUAUGCACUAUAGUUGGAGGUAAUUUACAAGAGUUACUUGAAGGAAAGAGAGAGAGUUUGGUAGAUUGUAGUUCAUGGAGUUGAAUAUGCUUUUGGACUAUAAAAUUGACAACUCACAAGCCUUCUAGGUAACAUCCAAGAUAGACUUGCUCAGUAUGCACUAUUCUUAGUGAAAAGAGUUAAUUUUUUCAGUAUACUAAAAAUAGUUCCAUAAUUCUCACAACUCAUCAUGAGAAGAAACAAAGAAACAAAGAGUCAAUACUCACCAUACUUCAUAACAACAUUAAGAAGGUUGAGAAGUUUUUCCAGGCUAGAUAGGAAGAUUGCAUUGGACAUGUUUUAAGAAGGUUGACAAGUAAAGAAGGUGCACACAACACAAAAAUGACUUCAUAACAAUAUUAAUAACAAGUACAAGGUAAUAUUUAUAAGAUGCUUAAAAGUCUAUUUGUUCUAAAGUUCUGAAUUAGAUUCAAUGUUGGAAUGCUAUGACUAUCUUGCAGUUAUGGUAGUCAUAACUUAGUUGUUUAUGACUUCUAUUGAGUGGUUUAUGGUAGUGGAACUUCUUAGGCAUUCUUUAGUAGUUUAUAUUUAUGCAUUAUUUGUCUAAACGAAUCCAGUUGCACUAUGGUAGUUUGUGGGCUAUUCAUGCAUUGUGGGUUAGGUUAAUUCUUCAUUAUCAUCAUCGAAUCUUUUGUUAUCUCUUGUUUAACCAUUUAUUGUAGCACUUGUAGUUGAUGACUUUAAGUUCUGAUCAAAUUUGUCCACUGUCAUACAAUGGAGUUAUCUUUGUUGUUCUUGUUCAACAAUUUCCCUCUAAAUUUAUCAGGCUUGCAUUGCGUUCUUGUGAUCUAAUCUUGAAGUUCGGGAGAUCACUGAAUCUUAAUCAUCAAUAAAUCGCAUCACAGGGUAAUUUUGUAUACAUAUGUCUUACCUUGUUUUGUACUAAUUGAUUUUUAUUUGUUCUUUUUGUUGAUUUGUGAAUAUAAUUGACUGUGUAAAAGUGGUAUGAUCAGAAGAAUACUGACAACUGAAGUUCAUAACAGAAAAUGUGUUCCAAUGACUGAUGUUUGGCCAUUUCUUUUUAUUUAUAAUAUGCAAUGGUGAACUUCGUCGAUGUGUUGUCGAUAAACGUUGUCUUAAGAGUCUUAAGAUGGAAGGUUGUUCUAGUUUGGGGAGUUUUCCCCUCUGUUCAUCAAGUCUUGGCACACUUUUGGCUUUCUGAUCUUUGCUCCCUCUCUAAGAUAGUUAUAUCUCUUGUCCUUUUAUCUCUUACAAUGAUUACCUCUGAUGGAAAAAUAAGUUUGCUCAUUCAUCUACUAUUUUUAUAUAUAAGGUACAACCGUGAACUACUUUCUUGAUGAUAAAAUUAAUAAAGUUGAGGUACUUUUCCCUAGUGUUGCUUGCUUUUUGAUUGUGGUAUGUCUUGGCUCUGCUGUUCCCUCAUCCAACACAACUGAUAACAAAGCGAAACUAGAAAAAUUGUCCGACGAUACAGAAAAAGGGUUGAGGCCAGAGAAUAAUCGGAAGACUCUCGUGGUGGUCUAGAAUCGUUCGUGAGGAGAUUAGAGCUGAUUUGGAGAAGAUUCAAAGUCUACAAAGGUAGAGAAAUGAGAGAGAGUUUUUGGAAAAUUUGUCUGAAGUGUUGUAGAAACAAAAACCUCAUAAACCCACCAAAAUACAUCUCCAAUUCAACUAGAUUUGAGUGUUUCCACCACAUAUUCUUUUUGAGCUUUGUAGAGAAGAUCUUGGGGUGAUGGUCUUGUUGAAGUUUCAAGCUCAAUCUUGGAGUAUUGUUGCUGAAUUCGUGGAUUAAGUCUUUAAAGAGAAAUGGGAGAGAAUUUCUGGAAAAUUUAUCUAAAGUGUUGCAGCAACAAAAACAUUCACAAACCCACCAAAAUACCUCUCCAAUUCAGCUAGAUUUGAUUGUUUUCACCACAUAUUCCAUCUUGAGCUUUUAAGAGAAUAUCUUGGUGGUGGUCUUGUUGAAGUUUCAAGCUCAAUCUUGGAAUAUUGCUGCUGAAUUCGUGGUUUAAGUCUUCAAAGGUAAUGUUUGCUUUAGACCCUCUAUGAAUAUCACUUGAAUAGCAUAUUUAAAACUCAAAUUAAGAGUAAUUAGAUUGCUUAUUUAUUCUGAUUUGUUCUGCUGCAUGUUAUAUUACUCUUUCAAACCAAUCCAACCCGUGUACACCCCUACUUUUCGGUAACUCAAUCACAAGAACUUCAUAGUUAAACGUGCUUAGCUUGGAGUAGUUCUAUGUUGGUUUGUGGGGAUAGUCUUCACUCUUGGAAGCAUUCAAGAUAAGUAAGGAUGACAUUGCCAGGUUGCAGGGGAUGUAAAGGAAUGUCAAGACUAGGUUGCAAAUGUCGGAGCCAUCAGGUGUUGAAUCCAAAUUCUGAAUCCUGAUUCGAAUCCUGAACCUAGGACGUUACAAUAUUACAUAUUUUAAUUCAUCGAGAGACACUUCAAGAAGUGUUGCAAUGCAUAAGUCACCCUCGACUUUAUGUUUGACUGUGUUUUAUGGCAUGGAUCACCGUGUUAAAACAAACAAAUAACUGAAGUCCAUAAACCUCUAACAUCUAACAACUUAUGAAAAGGUAAAACAAAGAAAAGAAAAUUUUGAGUAACGACUAAAUAUAUUAUACCUCUAGAAAUUUGUUUACU